UACGAACUGUGCGAACGUUAUUCGGAAUCACUGGGCUUACAGGGUGCGUAGGCGGCUAUUCAGGUCAGGUGUGAAAGCCCCCGGCUCAACCGGGGAACUGCGCUUGAAACCGAGUGGCUCGAGUCAGCUAGAGGUACACGGAACUUCCAGUGGAGCGGUGAAAUGUGUUGAUAUCGGAAGGAACGCCGGUGGCGAAAGCGGCACACUGGAUCUCAACUGACGCUGAGGCACGAAAGCCAGGGGAGCGAACGGG
rnacentral:rRNA from 1 species